rnacentral:rRNA from 1 species
AGCAGCCGCGGUAAUUCCAGCUCCAAUAGCGUAUAUUAAAGUUGUUGCAGUUAAAAAGCUCGUAGUUGAAUUUCGGGAUUGACACAUCGGUCGUGCCUUAAGGGGUAUGAACUGGUGUAGUCAAUUUCUCACCUUCUGGAGAACCGCGAUGCCCUUAAUUGGGUGUCGCGGGGAACCAGGACCUUUACUUUGAAAAAAUUAGAGUGUUUAAAGCAGGCAUUUUGCUUGAAUACAUUAGCAUGGAAUAAUAAAAUAGGACGGCAUGAUUCUAUUUUGUUGGUUUCUAGGAUCACCGUAAUGAUUAAUAGGGAUAGUUGGGGGCAUUAGUAUUCAAUUGUCAGAGGUGAAAUUCUUGGAUUUAUUGAAGCCUAACUACUGCGAAAGCAUUUGCCAAGGAUGUUUUCAUUAAUCAAGAACGAAAGUUAGGGGAUCGAAGACGAUCAGAUACCGUCGUAGUCUUAACCAUAAACUAUGCCGACUAGGAAUCAGACGAUGUUAAUUUUUAAUGACUCGUUUGGCA